AAGAACUUUCAGGUUCGUGAACAGGUAGAGAUUCAGGGAGAGAAGUGCACUCUGAGACGGUAUGGAAACUCCAUGCCUUUCCUUCAUACCCUGUUCUACACAUCUCUUUCAUCUGGUUGUUUCUAAAUUUUAUAAUCAUUAGCCACUACCGAAGACAUUAUCACCUUUAAUGAAGAGAAAGAAAGCAAAAAAUACAAAAGGCUCUGUUUAUGUUUCUGCGUUGGAUGAUUCACAUCUACUUUUCCCUGUGCAGCCUUGGGAGAGGGAAGAGGCCCCUGGAGGAAACAACUGGAAAAGUUCAGGGAACUAAAUUCAG